CGAGAUGGCGACAUGGAGCAAAUCCCAAAAACAGCGCCCCAGUUCGGAUUGCAGGCUGCAACUCGCCUGCAUGAAGCCGGAAUCGCUAGUAAUCGCGGAUCAGAAUGCCGCGGUGAAUACGUUCCCGGGUCUUGUACACACCGCCCGUCACACCAUGGGAGCCGGGAAUGCCCGAAGUCAGUGGCCCAACCGAAAGGGGGAGCUGCCGAAGGCAGGCCUGGUGACUGGGGUGAAGUCGUAACAAGGUAAC
rnacentral:rRNA from 1 species